AUUGAACGCUGGCGGCAGGCCUAACACAUGCAAGUCGAGUGAGCGGCGGACGGGUGAGUAAUGUCUGGGAAACUGCCCGAUAGAGGGGGAUAACUACUGGAAACGGUAGCUAAUACCGCAUACUAUCAGAUGAGCCCAGAUGGGAUUAGCUAGUAGGUGGGGUAAAGGCUCACCUAGGCGACGAUCCCUAGCUGGUCUGAGAGGAUGACCAGCCACACUGGCACUGAGAAACGGCCCAGACUCCUACGGGAGGCAGCAGUGGGGAAGAUUGCACAAUGGGCGCAAGCCUGAUGCAGCCAUGCCGCGUGUAUGAAGAAGGCCUUAGGGUUGUAAAGCACUUUCAGCGAGGAGGCGGUACUCGCAGAAGAAGCACCGGCUAACUCCGUGCCAGCAGCCGCGGUAAUUC
rnacentral:rRNA from 1 species